GACGAACGCUGGCGGCGUGCUUAACACAUGCAAGUCGAACGCUGAAGACCUGGCUUUUGUUGGGUUGGAUGAGUGGCGAACGGGUGAGUAACACGUGAGUAACCUGCCCUCUUCUUUGGGAUAACGCCCGGAAACGGGUGCUAAUACUGGAUAUUCACUGGCCUUCGCAUGGGGGUUGGUGGAAAGGUUUGUUCUGGUGGGGGAUGGGCUCGCGGCCUAUUAGCUUGUUGGUGGGGUGAUGGCCUACCAAGGCUUUGACGGGUAGCCGGCCUGAGAGGGUGACCGGUCACAUUGGGACUGAGAUACGGCCCAGACGCCUACGGGAGGCAGCAGUGGGGAAUAUUGCACAAUGGGCGAAAGCCUGAUGCAGCGACGCCGCGUGAGGGAUGGAGGCCUUCGGGUUGUAAACCUCUUUCGCUCAUGGUCAAGCCGCAACUGUGGGUUGUGGUGAGGGUAGUGGGUAAAGAAGCGCCGGCUAACUACGUG
rnacentral:rRNA from 1 species